CGCUGGCGGCGUGCCUAACACAUGCAAGUCGAGCGGGGACAUGCGACGGAAGAGAAGUUUUCGGAUGGAUCUGAAGAUGUAUGUUCUAGCGGCGGACGGGUGAGUAACGCGUGAGCAACCUGUCCUUCACAGGGGGAUAACACAGCGAAAGUUGUACUAAUACCGCAUAAGACCACGGAGAGACAUCUCUCAGGGGUCAAAGGAGCAAUCCGGUGAGGGGUGGGCUCGCGUCCGAUUAGAUAGUUGGUGAGGUAACGGCCCACCAAGUCGACGAUCGGUAGCCGACCUGAGAGGGUGAUCGGCCACAUUGGGACUGAGACACGGCCCAAACUCCUACGGGAGGCAGCAGUGGGGAAUAUUGGGCAAUGGGGGAAACCCUGACCCAGCAACGCCGCGUGAGGGAAGAAGGUUUUCGGAUCGUAAACCUCUGUCCCAGGUGAAGAGCAAGAGACGGUAACCUGGGAGGAAGCCCCGGCUAACUACGUGCCAGCCGCCGC
rnacentral:rRNA from 1 species